rnacentral:rRNA from 1 species
AGAGUUUGAUCCUGGCUCAGAUUGAACGCUGGCGGUAUGCUUAACACAUGCAAGUCGAACGGUAACAGGCCCAGCUUGCUGGGUGCUGACGAGUGGCGGACGGGUGAGUAACGCGUAGGAAUCUACCUUAUAGUGGGGGAUAACCUGGGGAAACUCAGGCUAAUACCGCAUAUGUCUUACGAGAUAAAGCAGGGGACCUUCGGGCCUGGUGCUAAAAGAUGAGCCUGCGUCGGAUUAGCUAGUUGGUGGGGUAAAGGCCUACCAAGGCGACGAUCCGUAGCUGUUCUGAGAGGAAGAUCAGCCACACUGGGACUGAGACACGGCCCAGACUCCUACGGGAGGCAGCAGUGGGGAAUAUUGGACAAUGGGCGAAAGCCUGAUCCAGCAAUACCGCGUGUGUGAAGAAGGCCUGCGGGUUGUAAAGCACUUUCAGUAGGGAGGAAGGCUUGAUGAUUAAUAACUAUCACAGUUGACGUUACCUGCAGAAGAAGCACCGGCUAACUCUGUGCCAGCAGCCGCGGUAAUACAGAGGGUGCAAGCGUUAAUCGGAAUUACUGGGCGUAAAGCGUGCGUAGGUGGUUUGAUAAGUUAGGUGUGAAAGCCCCGGGCUCAACCUGGGAAUUGCAUUCGAUACUGUUUGACUAGAGGACAGUAGAGGAUAGUGGAAUUUCCGGUGUAGCGGUGAAAUGCGUAGAUAUUAGGAAGAACACCAGUGGCGAAGGCGGCUUCUUGGAUUGAUACUGACACUGAGGUACGAAAGCGUGGGGAGCAAACAGGAUUAGAUACCCUGGUAGUCCACGCCCUAAACGAUGAGAACUAGAUGUUGGAGGAAUUUAUAAUCCUUUAGUAUCGCUAACGCGAUAAGUUCUCCGCCUGGGGAGUACGGCCGCAAGGUUAAAACUCAAAUGAAUUGACGGGGGCCCGCACAAGCGGUGGAGCAUGUGGUUUAAUUCGAUGCAACGCGAAGAACCUUACCUGGCCUUGACAUCCUUGGAAUUUCGCAGAAACGUGAAAGUGCCUUCGGGAGCCAAGAGACAGGUGCUGCAUGGCUGUUGUCAGCUCGUGUCGUGAGAUGUUGGGGUUAAGUCCCGCAACGAGCGCAACCCUCGUCAUUAGUUACUAACAGUUCGGUCGAGGACUCUAGUGAGACUGCCUUCGUAAGGAGGAGGAAGGUGAGGACGACGUCAAGUCAUCAUGGCCCUUACGGCUAGGGCAACACACGUGCUACAAUGGGCAGGACAAUGAGAAGCAAUAUCGCGAGGUGGAGCAAAUCUAUAAACCUAAUCUCAGUUCGGAUUGUAGUCUGCAACUCGACUACAUGAAGCUGGAAUCACUAGUAAUCGUAGAUCAGCCAUGCUACGGUGAAUACGUUCCCGGGUCUUGUACACACCGCCCGUCACACCAUGGGAGUGGGUUGCUCCAGAAGUGGUUAGCCUAACCGUUCGCGGAGGGCGAUCACCACGGAGUGAUUCAUGACUGGGGUGAAGUCGUAACAAGGUAGCCCUAGGGGAACCUGCGG